rnacentral:rRNA from 1 species
UACGGGGGGGGCAAGCGUUGUUCGGAAUUACUGGGCGUAAAGGGUUUGUAGGUGGCUUGUUAAGUCAGACGUGAAAUCCCUCAGCUUAACUGGGGAACUGCGUCUGAGACUGGUGAGCUUGAGUGCAGGAGAGGAACGCGGAAUUCCAGGUGUAGCGGUGAAAUGCGUAGAGAUGUGGAGGAACACCGAUGGCGAAGGCAGCCCCCUGGGUUAACACUGACGCUCAGGCACGAAAGCGUGGGGAGCAAACAGG